rnacentral:rRNA from 1 species
AACGAACGCUGGCGGCAUGCCUAACACAUGCAAGUCGAACGAGACCUUCGGGUCUAGUGGCGCACGGGUGCGUAACGCGUGGGAACCUGCACUUAGGUUCGGAAUAACUCCCCGAAAGGGGUGCUAAUACCGGAUAAUGUCUUCGGCCCAAAGAUUUAUCGCCUUUGGAUGGGCCCGCGUUGGAUUAGCUAGUUGGUAGGGUAAAAGCCUACCAAGGCGACGAUCCAUAGCUGGUCUGAGAGGAUGAUCAGCCACACUGGGACUGAGACCCGGCCCAGUCUCCUACGGGAGGCAGCAGUGGGUAAUAUUGUACAAGGGGCGAUAGCCUGAUCCAGCCAUGCCGCGUGAGUGAUGAAGGCCUUAGGGUUGUAAAGCUCUUUUACCCGGGAUGAUAAUGACAGUACCGGGAGAAUAAGCUCCGGCUAACUCCGUG